CCACUUAAGGAAUAGCUUGCAUAGCAGUAGAUAGUUCUGGUUCGACUGCGAUCGUAGAUUCAGCCCGAAGCUCCGCUGAUGGAGCCGCUGAUGGUUCUGAUGCGGCAGCUUCAUCUAUUACCAUCUCAACUCUAGCCGACAGUACUUUAAUUGGAGGAAGCAUUGUCGGAGCUGACAAUGCUAUAAUCGGCUAAGUGCUGGGAGCUGUCACCGAUAGAACGUCGAACUCCCUCAUCGAAACCAACCCAGAAUUAGUCCGACUCUUCUUCGUCAUUCGGGAUGAUCCUACAUC
rnacentral:lncRNA from 1 species